rnacentral:rRNA from 1 species
UAGUCAUAUGCUUAUCUCAAAGAUUAAGCCAUGCAUGUCUAAGUAUAAACACGUUUGUACUGUGAAACUGCGAACAGCUCAUUACAACAGUUACAAUUUAUUUGACAACCGAGCAUUACACGGAUAACCGUAGUAACUCUAGGGAUAACACGUGCACCCUUUGUUCGCAAAGGCGCUCAUAUUAUCUAAACCAACAAUGGUUGAACCAGAGUAUUAAUCGGAUCGCGCAGGCAUCGCCAGCGACGUGUCAUUCAAGUUUCUGCCUUAUCAGCUCCGACGGUAGAAUAGAGGUCUACCGUGGCGACCACAGGUAACGGGGAACGGGGGUUCGACUCCGGAGAGGCAGCCUGAGAAACGGCUACCACAUCCACGGAAGGCAGCAGGUGCGCAAAUUACCCAAUUCUGACUCAGAGAGGUAGUGACAAGAAAUAACGAUAAUGACCUAACGGUCAGCAUUCGGAAUGAGCAAAAUCUAAAACCCAUCGCGAUAACCGAGUGGAGGGCAAGUCUGGUGCCAGCAGCCGCGGUAAUACCAGCUCCACUAGUGUAUACUAAAAUUGCUGCUGUUAAAAAGCUCGUAGUUGGAUGUCAGCGACAGCAGCGUGACCCAGCCAGUUUCUGGCCGCGUGUCAGCACACUUCGGUGCGCACAGCUGCGUCGCUCAAUUCAGGAUUCGGUCGCCCCAUUCACUUGGGGCGUCCGGGCCCCUGAUCCCAUACCUUGAGAAAAUUAGAGCGCUCAAAGCAGGCAGUUGCCUGGAUGCAUUAGCAUGGAAUAACAAAACACGACUCGUGUCACCGCCUCGCGGCGGGUUUUGUUGGUUCGGGCAUGAGUAAUGAUUGAUAGAAACAGCCGGGGGUGCUAGUAUUGCGGGGCUAGAGGUAAAAUUCUUUGAUUCCCGUGAGACUUCCAUAUGCGAAAGCAUUCACCAAGCGUGUUUUCUUUAAUCAAGAACUAAAGCUGAGAUCUCGAAGACGAUCAGUUACCGUCCUAGUCUCAGCCAUAAACGAUGUCGACUUAGAAUUGGGCAAUGUAUACACACUUCCUCAGCGCUUGUGAGAAAUCAAAGUCUUCGGACCCAGGGGGAAGUAUGCCCGCAAGAGUGAAACUUAAAGGAAUUGACGGAACGGCACCACCAGAGGUGGAGCCUGCGGCUCAAUUUGACUCAACACGGGAAAACUUACCAGGUCCGGACAUAGCGAGGAUGGACAGACUGAAGGUCUUUCUUGAUUCUAUGAGUGGUGGUGCAUGGCCGUUCUUAGUCCGUGGGAUGACCUGUCUGGUUAAUUCCGAUAACGGACGAGACCUCAGCCGUCUAAAUAGCCGGAGCUACCAACUGUGUUGCUUAGCCUGCUCGCGAGAGCUCGGCUUCUUAGAGGGACUGUCUGUGUCAACAGAACGAAGUUUGAGGCAAUAACAGGUCAGUGAUGCCCUUAGAUGAUCUGGGCUGCACGCGCGCUACAAUGGUGCACUCAGCGAGCUCAAUCCCGGCCUGAGAAGGCCGGGUAAUCUUUAAAGUGCAUCUAAGUCGGGACAGAGGAUUGCAAUUCUUCCUCUCGAACAAGGAAUAUCUAGUAAACGCGAGUCAUCAACUCGCAUUGGUUACGUCCCUGCCCUUUGUACACACCGCCCGUCGCUCCUACCGAUUGAAUAACGAGGUGAACUGGGCGGAUCCGGCGGAUUCCUGCCGGAGAAGCUCCCGUGAACCCUGAUAUUUAGAGGAAGGACAA